rnacentral:lncRNA from 1 species
GUGGAAUUAACGAGCCUUGCUUUCCUAUAAAUAUAACCACAACUCUCAUUCUCAAACCACACACAAACUCCCAAAUCACACCCUAUCUGAAAUCACAUUCCUCAGUAAAAUCCUAUUCAAAUUAUAAAUAUUUGAAAAAAAUAGGAAAAGGAUAAGAUAUUAGAAUUCAUGUGGGCGAGACUUACGUAUUAUAAUUGCUGGAACUCUUGCCACAUGUUAAUCUGGUAUUUUUGUCCUCUUCCUUUUUUUCUAGUUUUUACACUACGAGGUAUUUACGACGAUUUCCACUUACGUGGAAUUAACGAGUGUUAUGUUUAAAUCCUUUUACGUGGUAUUUACGACGAUUUCAUCCAACGUGGCCUUUACGACGACUUCUGCUUACGUGGAAUUAACGAGUGUUUUGUUUAAAUCCUUUUACGUGGUGUUUACGACGAUUUCUGCUUACGUGGAAUUAACGAGUAUAAUGUUUAAAUCCCUAAAAUCCGAAACCCCAAACCCCAAACCCCAAACCUGAAACCCCAAACCCCAAACCUC